rnacentral:rRNA from 1 species
AGCCGGUAAGAAGGGAGCUUGCUCCCGGAUGUUAGCGGCGGACGGGUGAGUAACACGUGGGUAACCUGCCUGUAAGACUGGGAUAACUCCGGGAAACCGGAGCUAAUACCGGAUAGUUCCUUGAACCGCAUGGUUCAAGGAUGAAAGACGGUUUCGGCUGUCACUUACAGAUGGACCCGCGGCGCAUUAGCUAGUUGGUGAGGUAACGGCUCACCAAGGCGACGAUGCGUAGCCGACCUGAGAGGGUGAUCGGCCACACUGGGACUGAGACACGGCCCAGACUCCUACGGGAGGCAGCAGUAGGGAAUCUUCCGCAAUGGACGAAAGUCUGACGGAGCAACGCCGCGUGAGUGAUGAAGGUUUUCGGAUCGUAAAGCUCUGUUGUUAGGGAAGAACAAGUGCAAGAGUAACUGCUUGCACCUUGACGGUACCUAACCAGAAAGCCACGGCUAACUACGUGCCAGCAGCCGCGGUAAUACGUAGGUGGCAAGCGUUGUCCGAAUUAUUGGGCGUAAAGGGCUCGCAGGCGGUUUCUUAAUUCUGAUGUGAAGCCCCCGCUCACCCGGGAGGGUCAUUGAAACUGGGAAACUU